rnacentral:rRNA from 1 species
UACGGGGGGAGCAAGCGUUGUUCGGAUUUACUGGGCGUAAAGGGCGCGUAGGCGGCCACCGCAAGUCGGUUGUGAAAUCUCUGGGCUUAACCCAGAAAGGUCAACCGAUACUGCGGGGCUAGAGUGCAGAAGGGGCAACUGGAAUUCUCGGUGUAGCGGUGAAAUGCGUAGAUAUCGAGAGGAACACCUGCGGCGAAGGCGGGUUACUGGGCUGACACUGACGCUGAAGCGCGAAAGCGUGGGGAGCGAACAGG